rnacentral:piRNA from 1 species
UGCAGGACAAAUUCGAUCGCAUAG